rnacentral:lncRNA from 1 species
GUAUCAUAGUUAGGGUUUAUCACUGGCUGCUGUAGAUCUAUAAUUUAUACUCAUAGUCGUUUCUUUUAUCAAUUUAUACAUGUUUGCUAUUUUAAUGAAUUAUCGGUAGUAUACACGUUAUGAAUCAGCAGUAUGCUAUGGUUAAUUCAUUGAAUACCAAACUCUGUUGAUCUAUGUCAAAGCUAUUGCCAAUUUGUUUUGCUUUUCUUUUCUUUAUGUUUUAAUUUUUGCCUCACUACACCUUUAGCUUGUUUUCGAAUAUAUUCCAUGAAAAUCAAAAGCUAGUCAUAGAGGCACAAAUUGAAUCAUAGGCGGUUUUCACGUGGUGCUUUAACCAUUCAAUGUUUAUGCCUCUAAAAAAAUUCGCCACAUCAUUGUAUUAUUAUUUAUUUAGAUUUCAAUUUUUAACACUAAUUUUUGGCUAUGAUUAUAUUUUAUCCGCGCUUCUGAGUUUUUUGUAUGAAGUAUAUUGGAAUAAUGGUUGAAUUUCUUAAUAUGAGCCAAAUUUUAAUUUAUUUCUUUUAUAUUUUAAAUUCUGUUUGUUUCAAUUUUUAAUUAUGUUUUAUUUGGCUGUGAUGACAAAUUAUUCAGCUUUAUGCCAGUUCUGCUUCUGAAAAUUCGUGACUGAGAGAGCUGUAAUAUAUUCUGAGCCUAACAUAAACUAAACAAUUCACGUUUUUUUUAUUUCCGUGUGUUUUAUGUUGUUAGUUAAUUUGAUUGGCCUAUGAUUAUACUAUAUCCGAUUGUUUGAGGUGUUUUGGAGCCAAGCCCCUGUUUACAGGGAGAACCUACUUGGUGAAGGGACAUUCAUAUGACAUUAAUGGAUUCAAUGAGGCUUUGAUUAUGUUUCAAUAUUAUCAUAUUUUUGUAUUUUUACGGUAAUCUUUGCCGAAAAAUUUGGAUUAGAAUGGUUUAAUCGUUGUUCUGUUAUGUUCUGUUAAAUCAUUGUAGUUUAUUGUUGUUUAGUUUCAUUGAGUUUUUAACUAAGGAUUCUCUUAUCCCUUUUAAUUGGAUUUAGAGUCUGAAAAAAGAAGCUCAUAUAUUUGGUGUUGUCUAUCAGCUUCAUCUCUUGUAACCCACGAGUCUGGAGUUAAAUAUCAGCACAACAUUUUUUCAAUUCAAAAAAGCUUUAAAUUCUUUGUUUUUUGUUAAUUGAUUUUUAGAGUAGGUUAAGAUUGAAAGAGGUUGGUUGUGAUGAUUAUAAAAAAUUCCUCGUACUGAAUGCUAUUGGCAUGACAGACACUUUACACCCAUAGAAUAUGAGCAAUCCCCUCUUUCUAUCUAAUUUUAUGAUUAAUUUAAGUAACUUUUUUGUGAAACUGGUAACAAAACUGUAAUUUUGAAAGCCAUUUUUGUUUUGGAUCAUUUGAUUAAAUGGGAUGUUUAUUUGUUAACUGUGAUGAGUCUUCAACAGACCUGUAAUGAUUUGCGGGUAUGAUCGCAGAUAUUAUUGAACAUCUAAGGGACUGAGUUAAC